rnacentral:rRNA from 1 species
AUAUUGCACAAUGGACGCAAGUCUGAUGCAGCAACGCCGCGUGGAGGAUGAAGGCCCUUGGGUUGUAAACUCCUUUUUUCAGGGAAGAGAGAGGACGGUACCUGAAGAAUAAGUCACGGCUAACUACGUGCCAGCAGCCGCGGUAAUACGUAGGUGGCAAGCGUUAUCCGGAAUUACUGGGCGUAAAGCGCACGCAGGCGGCGCCGCAAGUUCGACGGGAAAGCUCCCGGCUUAACUGGGAGAGGUCGUUGAAGACUGCUGUGUUUGAGGCAAGGAGAGGGGUGUAGAGUUCCCGGUGUAGUGGUGGAAUGCGUAGAUAUCGGGGGGAAUACCAGUGGCGAAAGCGGCACCCUAGCCUUAGCCUGACGCUCAGGUGCGAAAGCGUGGGGAGCGAGC